rnacentral:rRNA from 1 species
AGAUUUAUCGGGAAAGGAUUGGCCCGCGUUAGAUUAGAUAGUUGGUGGGGUAAUGGCCUACCAAGUCUACGAUCUAUAGCUGGUUUUAGAGGAUGAUCAGCAACGCUGGGACUGAGACACGGCCCAGACUCCUACGGGAGGCAGCAGUGGGGAAUCUUAGACAAUGGGCGCAAGCCUGAUCUAGCCAUGCCGCGUGUGUGAUGAAGGUCUUAGGAUCGUAAAGCACUUUCGCCAGGGAUGAUAAUGACAGUACCUGGUAAAGAAACCCCGGCUAACUCCGUGCCAGCAGCCGCGGUAAUACGGAGGGGGUUAGCGUUGUUCGGAAUUACUGGGCGUAAAGCGUACGUAGGCGGAUUGGAAAGUUGGGGGUGAAAUCCCAGGGCUCAACCCUGGAACUGCCUCCAAAACUAUCAGUCUAGAGUUCGAGAGAGGUGAGUGGAAUUCCAAGUGUAGAGGUGAAAUUCGUAGAUAUUUGGAGGAACACCAGUGGCGAAGGCGGCUCACUGGCUCGAUACUGACGCUGAGGUACGAAAGUGUGGGGAGCAAACAGGAUUAGAUACCCUGGUAGUCCACACCGUAAACGAUGAAUGCCAGUCGUCGGGCAGUAUACUGUUCGGUGACACACCUAACGGAUUAAGCAUUCCGCCUGGGGAGUACGGUCGCAAGAUUAAAACUCAAGGAAUUGACGGGGGCCCGCACAAGCGGUGGAGCAUGUGGUUUAAUUCGAAGCAACGCGCAGAACCUUACCAACCCUUGACAUCCUGUGCUAACCCGAGAGAUCGGGCGUUCACUUCGGUGACGCAGUGACAGGUGCUGCAUGGCUGUCGUCAGCUCGUGUCGUGUGAUGUUCGGUUAAGUCCGGCAACGAGCGCAACCCACAUCCUUAGUUGCCAGCAGUUCGGCUGGGCACUCUAAGGAAACUGCCCGUGAUAAGCGGGAGGAAGGUGUGGAUGACGUCAAGUCCUCAUGGCCCUUACGGGUUGGGCUACACACGUGCUACAAUGGCAGUGACAAUGGGUUAAUCCCAAAAAGCUGUCUCAGUUCGGAUUGGGGUCUGCAACUCGACCCCAUGAAGUCGGAAUCGCUAGUAAUCGCGUAACAGCAUGACGCGGUGAAUACGUUCCCGGGCCUUGUACACACCGCCCGUCACACCAUGGGAGUUGGUUCUACCCGACGACGCUGCGCUAACCUUCGGGGGGCAGGCGGCCACGGUAGGAUCAGCGACUGGGGUGAAGUCGUAACAAGGUAGCCGAUAGAGUUUGAUCCUGGCUCAGUAGGGUUUGAUCCUGGCUCAGGAAAGUCGUAACAAGGUAGCCG